UCUCCUAUAAAAGUAAAAUGAAUCAUUUUUAAUUCUUUGAACAAGGUUGCCAAAAGUAGGGCGCUCAGCCGUUGAGGCAUUAUCACAUUUUUAAGAAGCUUCGCAAAAUCUGCUCUUAUACUAAAGAAAUCUAAUGUAGGUUUGUUGGCCUUAUUGGGUACUGAUAUGCUGAACACAUGAUAUUAAAUAUACAGUGAAGUGGGUAUGUUUAUACUAUCUACACAGGAUUGCCAUUUUCUUGAACUGUUGUUGGGAUUAUCAUGGAUUGGGAUGCAUUAUGAUAAUAAGAUAUUAGGUAUUGAUAUAUGAUCUGUAUGUCACACUUGACUUCAUCAUCCUUUGUUUUCAGAUCUAUUCUUUAGGCAUACACUAAUGUGGUAGCUUGGGUCAUAUUCUGUAGCUAAUUUAGUCACCACAAUACUCGGGUCCCCCCCUCCCGACUUUCAAUAUAAAGAACUUCCACUUGCCAUUUCACAUGAUAAACACUACAUUCUAUUUAUUUAUGGCCCAAAACUUAUUAUUUGUGGAUAGCCACAACUGAGGUCUUGAGUUUUUGAGUAUCAUAGAAGAACCACGUUCCUUUCGCAGCGAUAGAUCAACAUUUGACCCUUUUUUAGCUAUUAUAGGAAGACUAAGAUGCACAAAAUCAACCUGUGUUAGGCCAAUGGUCCUUUCCAAAUGUGAAAUCUUGCAUGCGUUAUUUAUCAAUUCCAAAAGGUGAUGGUUGUGUUAUUACGUUGGAAAAGAGGUACUUGUACAGUUUUGCUACUGAUUUUGACCAAGGNNNNNNNNNNNNGAACUUCCACUUGCCAUUUCACAUGGUAAACACUACAUUCUAUUUAUUUAUGGCCCAGAACUUAUUAUUUGUGGAUAGCCACAACUGAGGUCUUGAGUUUUUGAGUAUCAUAGAAGAACCACGUUCCUUUCGCAGCGAUAGAUCAACAUUUGACCCUUUUUUAGCUAUUAUAGGAAGACUAAGAUGCACAAAAUCAACCAUUGUUAGGCCAAUGGUCCUUUCCAAAUGUGAAAUCUUGCAUGCGUUAUUUAUCAAUUCCAAAAGGUGAUGGUUGUGUUAUUACGUUGGAAAAGAGGUACUUGUACAGUUUUGCUACUGAUUUUGACCAAAGGUUUUUCGGCUCUCAUCUCUAUAUGAAUAUGCUUUUUUCAGGUUAGUGGUUUAGGAGUUCCUGCCAACACUGGCUUUUGGAAUUUAUCCUCGCUUCAUCAGUUGGGAUUUCUGUACAAAACUAAGAUAAUUUAUUUUGGUGCUUGCGAUGAGUAUUAGAUAGAGGGGUGAUGCACACAUACUUCACCCAGUGUAUCUGUUCAUGUAUGUUGUUAAUUGACUAAUUAGACAAAAAACCUCUAUCUGUAUGGUGUUUGUGAUGAUGCUAUCAAUUCACCAAACACUAAAAUACCGGGUUGUGCUUUUCAAAUCUAGCAAAUUAAUUCUCUAUUGCUUCUUGUCCAAACAGAGGUAUUAGAUCUAUUCUGUGCCAUGAGUCUUACUGUCAAAAAAUUAUAUAAGCCGCGCUAGAUGAUUAUAGGUAGCUCAUAUCAAGAACUUUGUUUUAGCAGCACAAUUCGGAUAAAUUUGCACUUUUUCACCAACGAACAAGGUGUUACAUACCAGAUCAAAG
rnacentral:lncRNA from 1 species